GGGGUUAUAGCUCAGCUGGGAGAGCGCGUCGUUCGCAAUGACGAGGUCAGGGGUUCGAAUCCCCUUAACUCCA
rnacentral:tRNA from 1 species